rnacentral:piRNA from 1 species
UAGCCCUAUAGGAAAAUAUUACAGAUGGCA